rnacentral:rRNA from 1 species
UACGAAGGGUGCAAGCGUUACUCGGAAUCACUGGGCGUAAAGCGUGCGUAGGCGGUUCGUUAAGUCUGCUGUGAAAGCCCUGGGCUCAACCUGGGAACUGCAGUGGAUACUGGCGGACUAGAGUGUGAUAGAGGAUGGUGGAAUUCCCGGUGUAGCGGUGAAAAUGCGUAGAGAUCGGGGAGGAACACCAGUGGCGAAGGCGGCCUCUGGAUCAACACUGACGCUGAGGCACGAAAGCGUGGGGAGCAAACAGGG